rnacentral:lncRNA from 1 species
GGGUUGCAGGCAGGAGCGUGGACAGGGGAGAUUUCAGGGAGACUUCCAGCGGCCCCGCCUCUUUCGUGUAGGGAAACCUUUCCUCCUUUUGUGUGGGGAUACCUCAAACUCACUACUGAACUGAGUUCCUGACCGUCCACCCUUCACUUCCUCAUCCACCCCUGCCUCAGAAGAUGGCAGCUCCAUCUUCCAGUUGCUGAGGCUGAAAUAACUCCAUCAUCCCUCAUUCUUUUCUUAUCCUGGAGUUGGACCAAAGAUUCAUUCAGGUUAUGUGAGCUCUACCAGCUAAGGCGUCAUGGUGCUACCUGCUGUUUUCCCAGCCCAGAGAUGGGACUCCAGGCCUUAUACAUAGGGUCUCCAAAAGACUGACACUGGUACAGAGUGCAUACUGUAGCCCAAGGCAGGUACUGCGCUCCCAGAUUCUCCCACCUCAGACCUCCACAGUAGCCGGGAGGAAAGACCA